GCAUCCCCCUAUCAAAUAUGUACAUGGAAUCAUCGAUCCAUCGAUCGAUCAAGCAGCAACCAGCAGUACAAUCGCAUACGUGCGCGCGUGGAAUCGAACAGGAGCAGGACCCACAUCCGGCCGUUCACGGCCCCCACAUGUCGUGGAUGGUGGAGUGGAAGCUGGCGAGCACGAGGAGGAGGAGGACGAGCAAGGCGACGCCCCAGGGCGAGCUGCCCUCGGCGGGGCCCCGCUCGUAGCGGCCCUUCCAGCGGCUCUCCCUCGGGUAGAAGCCCAGGUAGCCCUCGAAGGAGUCGACGGAGGAGAUCCAGCGGAUGAGGAGG
rnacentral:misc_RNA from 1 species